rnacentral:rRNA from 1 species
GGGAAGGUCGGUGAGGCGGCAGCUGGAAUACGGGGGGGGUAAGGGGUAAUCGUAAUUUCUGGGCGGAACGCGCGCGCGGGCGGCCUUGCAAGUCGGAUGGGAAAUCCCCGGGCGCAACCUGGGAACUGCAUUCGAAACUGGCAUGCUAGAGUCUGGGAGAGGGGGGUAGAAUUCCAGGUGUAGCGGUGAAAUGCGUAGAGAUCUGGAGGAAUACCGGUGGCGAAGGCGGCCCCCUGGACAAAGACUGACGCUCAGGUGCGAAAGCGUGGGGAACAAACAGGAUUAGAUACCCCUGUAGUC